UCAUGAUCAAUGGCACUCCAGUGGACUUCUUUUACUCCUCUGUUGGUCUCUACCAAGGUUAUCCUCUGUCUCCUUACUUGUUCCAUAUUUGUAUUGAUGCCUUGUCUUAUGCUUUGCGACCGGUGACCAUUAGUCAGGUUAUAGACCCUUACAGGCUAGCUCCUGAAGCCCAACUGCUCUCGCACCUGCUCUGCACUGAUGAUUGUCUGUUGGUCGGACGUGCUUCUAUUUGGAAUGCAGUAGCUUUUAGAAAGAUUAUGGAGGACUACUGCCUUGCUUCUAGUCAAAAAGUGAACCUAACAAAGUCAGAUAUCUAUUUUAGCUUGAAGGCCAGUGUUCAACAUAGACAAGCGAUCAGGGAGAUUCUUGGUAUUGUAGAGCAUUCGGGAGUCCUGCGCUACCUCAAGGUUUCUAUCACAGGAUAGCACCUUUGGAGGUCCGAAUGUGCUGAGCUGGAGGAUUUGAUUCGAGGACAGCUUGAGGGUUGGCAAUCCAAGGUGCUGUCGAUGAUGGCUAGAGUCACCCUGAUC
rnacentral:lncRNA from 1 species